rnacentral:guide_RNA from 1 species
AUACAACAACAUAAAUCGAUGAAGAUAGAGACUAUGAGAAUUAAUG